UGAACGCAAAGGAAAUGAAUGUGGUCGUGGAAUCAAAUGCAUACCAAAGCCAACGCCACGGCCUACUAAGUGUAAAAGAAACAAUCCUUACUGCAGGCCUCCCUGAAUGUGGUAAAAAAUAAAGCUAUGGGCCUAUGGACGAUAUGGAUAUGGGUGAAGUUAUGCUAGUAAUAAAUUAACAAAUAAACAAAGUUUCCCCUCAUGCUUCAUGACCCAUGGCAAUUACCAAUGAAGUUCUUGUAAUGAUCAUAUCAUUACUUUCAUGACUACUAGUUUGUAUGUGUUAUGUUUAUGUUUAAUAAAUUAUGGAGUGUUUUUAUGUUGAAAAAUAUCAAGUACUACUUUGAUUGUGAUAGGUUUAUAUGUUUAUGUUUGAGGAAAUUAUUUCAAAAAUGAAAAUCACAUAAACCAUGAUUUGUACUCCGUUUCAAUUAUUGAUGUUGUAGAAACAAAUAACUUGGUCUGCAGUUGCUCAAAACAGUUUUGUUUUAUCUUCUGCCGGAACAAAAGUUGGAUAAAACUAGAAAGUUGGUGAGUCAAAGGGACAAGUAAAGGGAGAAUGAAUACACAAUAUUUGAGUUCAACUAUUUGCUAAAGCCCAAUUUUUACAAACCACUCCUCCCAAAUACUUUACAUUACAUACAAUAUCUCUCUAUAAAAGUCUAAACAAGGUGUGUCUAACACAUCCUUAAAAUAGCUAAAGAAUAAGUCAAUCAACAACCUAUUUACAGGCUCUCCUUCAACGUGAAUAUCGAUAGCUAGAAGAUGAGUCUUUAUUACAUGUUUAAAUGCUAAAAAUUAUCUUCAUAAGUUAUCUUAGAAAAAUAUUCAAAUAAAUCUCUCUAUAAAACAACCUUCCAUCAACUUGAAAACUCUUAAAAGAUAAAGGAUAAGGAUACUUCUUUCUUUCAUCUCCAAGGCUGUCGGUUGAACGAGGAUAAUUGCUCCAUAUUCUAUCAUGAAAUUAUCUCCUCGUUUGCUGGUUUAAAUCAGAUGUAAUCAAGGCUCUUUAUUGUCAAGAAUCCCAACCUGAAUGAACUUUCACUGAAAUAUGCACAUACUCUAAAAUAUGUCUAAAUAUUUGAUGAGACAAGAAAAGGUUCUAAAAUUGGUUUGAAUGGUCAAAUGCUCUAACAUAAAGCUUAAAAAUUUACAACAAAAUGACAUAAAAAAAAUAACAUUGAAAUUUGAUUUAUAAUAUUAGAAGUUUUGAAGAAGUGGUAAUUAAAUUAAUUAUUAGAAGUGGGAGAAUGAUGCUGGAGAAUCUGUCAAAUUUGAAACUUUUAGUAAGCUAUAAGGCACCAAAACUCCUACUUUUGCGUCGUUUUUAUUGUUAAAAAUUACUCACAAUUCUUUUAGGUAGCGUUUGAGAGUUAAAGGAUUUUAGAAUUUGGAUUUGAAUUUAAAAAAUAAUGCAAAUUGAGUACAUUUAUGUUUAUUUAAUCUAAGCUUUUGUUAGAAGCCUAUUUAUUAAUAAAUUUAAAAUUUUAAUUUUUUUUUGAAUUUGAUAAAUCCAUGCUUUUUUUUUAAUAUAUAUUAGAUUGAAUUUUGACUAAUCUAUCUAUAAUAUAUGCGUUUCAUUCUUACUAGAGUUGUUCACGGGUCGGGACAUAACAAAAUUUUAGGUCCAAUUACUAGGCCUUGAUCUGACCCAAAAAAUGGGCUUAGAUUUUUCCUAAGUUGACUCGGAUAAAAAUGUAAAACUUGGACCCAGUCUGUAUUAAUUUUUUAAUUUAAUUUUUAUAUAAAUAAAUUUAAAAAUAUAAUACACCAAAUACAUUAAAAAUAUUAAAAUAAAAGUUUCCUAAGAAAUUUAAAAAAAAAUUAAAAAAAAAGUCUUUAUACUUAAGUAACACUAAGAUAAGAGCAACUUAACAAGCAAAUGUUUCUAAAAUAGUAGCAAAAUUAACAAUAAAACAAGUAUUAUACAAUAUCCAAAUAUUAACAACAAAAUAAUAACAUAAUAGUGAAAUGGUAGCAAAACAGUGGGAAAAUAGCAGCAAAAGCAGUAGGUUUUUUUAUUGAAAAUCGGGUUGGGUCGGGUCGGGCCAAAAAAUCUUAUUCGAGGCUCGACCCGUUUUUCAAAUGGACUUUUUUUUUGUCCAAGUCUAUUUUCUGAGCCUAUAUUUUUUUUCUAAGUCCUCUCAUUUUUCGAGCGGACCUGACCCAGCCCAUAUACAACUCUAAUUCUUACCAUUUAUAUAAUAAAUGAGAUCUAAAUCCAAAUUUUCAAAUUCUGAAUUUCCAGAAGGAGGAUAAAUAUUUUAUUUGGAAUACUCCUCAACCAUCAAAAGCCCUAAAGAAAAUUCUAUCUUACAAUAUUUUCUAAAUUUUUCCUUCCAAGUUUCUUCAAUGUUACAUCAAUAGCAAGAGGAAGGCAAAAAACAAAGUUCAAGUCUUUCAAACUCUUCUAAAAUAGCAUCUUCAAGAUCUCCUGUAUCGAAAAGGCAAUUAUAGGGAGCCUCAACAAGUAAUGUUCUUGAAGUUGUUGAAAACCCAAUUGAUCCUCCACUAAUUAAAAUUGAACCUACUACUUGUCUAAAGGUAUUUGUUGCUAUGAAUCCUCAAAAACCUCUAGUACAUGACUUUUUUAUUAUUAUCUGAUUUAUUGUUCUACUUCUAAAAAACCAUGAUUGAAGAUUGAAAUCUCUUGGACACAAAGCAACAACAACUAAAGCAGUAGAAGAAGCCUUUGAGCACGUGCACACACACAAAAAAGAAAAACAACUGAUUAAGGAAAGACUUAUUCCAUUUCUAAUGAUAAUGUCCCAUUAUCAGACUUUGUGUCUAAUUAAACUGCCACGUAUAUAUAUAUAAAUUGAAAAGAGUAGGUGUUACUAAGUUAUUAAAAGAAUGUAGAUUGUACUUCUGAACUAAAGAAGUCAAAGUUCCUAAAUGUUAUUUGUACAAAAAAGAAUGAAAAUAAUGGUUGAUACACAUAUUAUAUGUUUAAAGCAAAUUAAUUUUUAUUAAUUUUUAAACUUUAUAUAAUUUAUAAAAAUCAUCUUGAAUUAAUAUGGACAAUGGGUUUUCUAGAUUUACAUUGUACAGGACAAAAAAAAAAUUUCAAAUUCAUUUUGGACUUCACUUCUAAAUGGGCUUUUAUUAAUUUUUAAUUUCUUUUUAAUUUCAUUUAAUAUUUUUUAUAAAUUUUAAUAAUAUUUUAUAUAUUUAUAAAAUUUUUAAAACAUUAAAACUUUAUAAAAAAAUUUAUAAUUUUUUUUUCUUAAAAUAAGCUUUGGAAUGAAUGAACAUAGACAAUUGUAUGUCCAAAGUUAUUCUAGUAAAAAAUUUAAGUAUUCCUUUUAAUUUUUUAUUUUAUGAAAAUUGUAUUUUGCUGACAUGGCACAAUCUAAAAAUUCCAUACGUCUAGCACUUAACACCAUUACAAAAAUGAUACUAAAAUGGAAUGAAAAUUCCACACUAACUUACGAAAAAAUCAUAAAUACCAAUUUAAGAGAAAGUGACAAAUUCAAGAACUAAAUGAGUAUUUAAACUUAUUUAUAUUUAAAUCAAUUUAGACAUGCAUUAAAUUUCUAAUUGUGUUUAAAUGAUAAGAAAUGAAAAAGAAGAUAUAAAAUUUUGAUCGAAAAAUAAACAUAAAAUAAAAAUCACUUACAAUUAUAAAUAAAACCAUUGAUAAAUGUAUUAUGUUAAAUUCCAGGAUAGAUGAAAUAACAGAAAUGAGGUUGAAGCAUCAUUGAGCUCUCAUACAUUGAAUCCUUGAUCACGACGCUUGUGCCUCACCCCAAGGCCUGACGCGCGUCUGUCGCCUUGCACCAAAAGAACAAAGGGCGUCUCUUCUCUCCCCUCCAUUGACUUUGCCGAUGUCUGCAAAAAAAAAAAAAGACAAAGAAAGAACACAGAAACGGCAAGACAAUAGCAGCAGAAACAGUAACAAAUUUGAAUAAUAAACAGUCUAAUAUGGCUAUAAAAGUCAUUACGUAUUAUUUUUUACAGGCAAUCGAAUAAAAAAAACAGAGAAAUAAAUAAAAGAGAAGAUUUCAAAAAAUAUAAAGGUAGUUAUAUAUAUAUAUAUAUAUAUGGUUUGAAAAGCUAUAAUAAAUACAUAAAAAAUAGAGAGAGAGGGGGAGGAUUCUCACUUGUCGUUCCACCUUUCGCCACCGUCGAGGACAACCUUCGGCACCUCAAAUGUCUCAUAACCCAUUAGGGUUUUGACUUCCGACGAAGGUCUGGAACGUGGCGCGACUGAAGGUUUUCCUUCGUGAUUCUUUUUCUUUUUUUUAUUUCAAAAAAUAUUCGGUUGGAUCUGUUUUCUUUUAAUAACUUUUAGAAAGGGACUAAAAGUAAUUUUUUUAUUUUCCGGCCACGAAGGAGGCACAGUGGAGGCUCGCCGGCAUCCGGGCCGAAGAUGGGGAGAACCGAGAGAGAAAGAGAGAACUCUCAGGUUUUUUUUAAAAAACAAAGACAUAAUGAUUUUUUUUAAAGAUUUUUAGCUUUUAUAGGAGAUGUAAAACGACGUCAUCUAGGGCUGGUUUCAAUAGCACGAAAACGGCGCCGUGUUGGCCUUCGACCUGAUUGCCUGUUCCAAGACCUUAGGAUCCGCGUGUUUUUUGUGACUAGGGUAUAAUUGGACAUUAGUCCUUCCAAUUUUUAAGCAGUUUCCAAUGUGGUCCUGUUUCUUUUUUAAUUUAACCAUUUGAUUUUAUCUUAAUUUCAUUUUUGGUCCUUGGCCAUUUUAAGAGAGGGAUACCUGAAACAGAGUCGUUUCAGUUGACUCGAGACCCAACCUGAGAUCCGACCCGAUCCUUUAAUAGGAUCCGCGUGUUUUUAAAAAAGGGGCCUAUUUGCGCUUUCAACCUUCUUCCUUUUAAGUCAUUUUAAUUAGGUCCUAAUUUCACUAUUUUCUUUUUUAGAAAGUUUCCAUUUAAUUUUACACCGCUUUCAACUAAGUCCUCGAAUCGCUGAAGGUACGCGUGUCCUUAGGAUUGGGAUAAUUCCUCAAUUGGUCCUUGUUUGUUUUCACACUUUUCAUUUUAGUAUGUUAUUUAUUUAUUUAUUUUAUCUUAAUUCAUUCUUUUAAUUUAAUUUAAAUGACAAUUAGACCCUUUAUUUAUUUUAAUUCUUUUAAUUAUUUACUUGUUUGCUUAUUUAUUAUUCCUUCACUUUUGGUUUAUGUUUAAAAUUGUAUUUCUUAUUAUUUUCUUUUCAUCGAGCAUUUAUUUAUUUAUUCAUUUUAUUUUAUUAUUUAUUUAUUUAUUUACUUAUUAUUCCUUUGUAUACAUGCAUAAGAAUUGGAUUGUGCAUAUGCUUUUAUUGGUACAUUUUUGUUUAUUACUAUCAUUCAUUGUUUUAUUUUUAUUUUUAAGCAUGUUAUUGUUAUUUUAUUUCUCUCAGCAUUUUUAUGUCAUGUCCAUUUAUCUUUUUAAUCAUGCAUCGUCCAUUUUUUAUUUACCUUAAAAUACUUCAUUUAAUCAUUAUUACUAUAAUACGAUUAUUAAUAUUAAUAGUAUUAUUAUAAUUAUGUUAUUAUAAUAAUAUUCUUUUAUUUCACUUAUUAUUUAUUAUUCUAUCUACAUAGUUGUUUUAAAUUAUCUCAUUUUCACCAUAUCAUACAUUAAGGUUCAAACAUUUAUCCAUUUGUAUAUCAUGCCCGAAUAAAUUAAAAACACAUCACCUUAAGUGUUUGUUUUUUUACACGAUGCAUAAAAAAAGAAUUUUUUUUAAACCGAGGCAAAUGUUCAUUAUUUCGAAUUUAGAAAAGUUGUGUUCCUAACGUACAGAAUAUGACUUCCUUCUAAAACCGAGAUAGUUGAAUAUUUAUUUUAAAAUAAAUAAAAACGAGAUUUAAGUAAUGAUCAAUUGGUGUUUAUUCUCGUUUUCGAGGUUUUAAGGCAUUGUGUCCUAACACACGGGACGUGAUCCUUUUUCUCGAUUAACUUGAAAUAAGCCCUUCUUGAGAAAAUUACUUUGGUUAGAUAAUGCCUUAAUACAAAAAGGAUCGUGUUUUAAACUCUUUUCAAAUUUUCAAUUCACAACACUAAGACAUUAAUAAAUCAACUAGGUACCAAUUUUGGGUGUUACGAGGGUGCUAAUCCUUCCUCAUGCAUAACCGACUUCCGAACCCAUUUUUUGAAUCUUGUAGACAAAAAAUCAUUAUUUUAGUAAAUCAAACCAUUUAUUAAAACGAUCAAAUUACGAGGUGAUCCAAUCACACACACCUCAUAAAAAGGGAUCGGUGGAGACUCCCAUUUUCGUCUUUUUCUUAAAAUAAAAAAGGUCGAUCUCAAAAAAGGUUUCGACAAUCAUAUUAUCUCAUAAUUAGAAUCCACAAUAUUGAUUCAAGUUAAAAUGUCAAGUCACUAAACUUAUCAAAAAUUCAUAACCAUAAACAACCCUUUGUUCAAUUUCUCGUGUUCUCUCUCUCUCUCUCUCUCUCUCUCUCUCUCUCUCUCUCUCUUUCUCUCUCUAAACAAAGGAAAUGAAAUAUUUGUCUAGGGUGUUGCUAAAUUUUUUUACACGAAUAAGGAUGAUAACCUAAGCACCCCACGAAAAUAGAUGACAACCCAAACACCUAACUUCUAAGACCAGUGGAGUAAGUGAAUGGCUUAGAACAUCACUCAAUUUUUUUACACGAAAAUAGAUGACAACCCAAACACCUAACUUGUGUUACUCAAUCGAUCACAGUUUUAAGAUUAUACUUUUAAUCUAAAUAGUUAGUUGGGUAUUUGUUGAUUUUUUUAUUUUUUUUCUUUUAUUUUUCAAUUUUAUUAAAGUGCCUUUAUUUAAUGUUGUUGGCUCUACAAGGUCCAUCAUUCGUUCAAAUCAGAUUUCUAAUCCUAUUUCCUCUCACUCUUGAAGUUUCAUCAUUGGGCAUUCUCUUUUCCCUUUGUACUUGAGAGGCUUCAGUGCCUCCAUCUCAUUGACAACUUGUAACAAUAUGAUUUUAAGUGGUAUCAAAAAAUGUGGUUUCAAAAUUCUAUUUUUAUAAAUCGAGUCUGCAAAGAUGAAAUAUAAAAAUUAAUGAAAUUAGUAUAAAUAUAUAUUGAAGUUCAGUUAAGUAAUUUAAUCGAGAAAACUAUUAAUUAAAACUUAAGGAUUAAAUUGGAAAAGUUCAAUCGCUAUUGAGUUUUAAUUUAAAAAUACUUGAGGACCAAGAUAACAAUUAUUUAAAGGACAAAAAUGUUAAUAAACCAACUUUAAUCAUGAAAUAGUGGAGAAUGAUGAUUGCUUACACUUAAAUUAAUUUAUGAUUAAAAUGUGUAAGUUAAUCUCUUAAUUAACUAAAUCAAACAAGAUUAAUUAAACUAAAUUAACAUUAAUUAAAGUGUAUAUAUGUGUGUAUUUUAGCGGAAGGAAAAAUGAAAAAAACAUCCUCAUCAUCUUCCUCCACCGUCCACCAAAGUAAGUAAGAAAGAAAUGCUUCAAACCAUUCCAACAUUUGACUAUUAAUCAAGUAAGCUCCUUAAGCUAUUUUUAUUUUUAUUUUUAUGGAAUUUGAAUCAUGAGAGCUUGAUUCAAUUAGCCUGUGUAUCAAUUUAUUCAAUUUUUUAGUUUCUAGAAUUUUUCCAUUAAAAUGAAAUUGUACUUUCUAACAGACGAUUUUGAAUUCAAAUUCUGAGUUUGAAACAAGUGUUUUCGAACUUACAUUUUUCUAACAUUUGUGAGAGUUGUGUCAAAUAUUAUGCUUUUGAAACGCAUCCUAAGUGAGAUUAAGUCAAAAAAUUUUAAACAAAUUAAUAUAAUCGCUUAAAAUCUAACCAUAACAUCUAAGUCGGGUUUAAAAUGUUACAAUAAUAAUAUAAAAAUUACAUGUAAAAAUUAGCAUAUAUAUAUAUAUAUAUAAACAAUGACACCGUAAGUGAAAAUCUAUCUUUGAUCCUAACAAUUGUCGAAUCCACGUGAAACAUGGGAAAAAAGUAAGAUGAUGGUAGCAUAAAUGACAUCAAUGAAGUGAGGGCAUCACUUUCUAAAUUUAUAAUCUUUGGUUGCUUUUUGGUGAAAGCAAAAUCUGCACUUGACUUGGGGUCAAUAUUAUAUAUUAUCCUUUGUAAAUUAGAUAAGUAGAUGUCAUGAAAGAGACAAUAGCAAUUAUUGCUUUCUUUUUCUUUUGUGGAAAAUUUGAUCCUAAAAGCAAAGUUACUGCACUCAGUGGGUAAGGAAAUUGGGUUAACCUUACUUUCAAAUUAAUAAUUUAAAUAAGUAUGUGAAUUUGAGAUUUUAUUGUAUAAAAAAUUUAAUUUCACGUGAAACAUGUAAAAGAGAAAAAAGUAGGAUGAUGGUAGGCAUAAAUGACAUCAAUGAAGUGAGGGCAUCACUUUCUAAAUUUAUAAUCUUUGGUUGCUUUUUGGUGAAAGCAAAAUCUGCACUUGACUUGGGGUCAAUAUUAUAUAUUAUCCUUUGUAAAUUAGAUAAGUAGAUGUCAUGAAAGAGACAAUAGCAAUUAUUGCUUUCUUUUUCUUUUGUGGAAAAUUUGAUCCUAAAAGCAAAGUUACUGCACUCAGUGGGUAAGGAAAUUGGGUUAACCUUACUUUCAAAUUAAUAAUUUAAAUAAGUAUGUGAAUUUGAGAUUUUAUUGUAUAAAAAAUUUAAUUUCAUAAUUAAAAAUAUUUUAUUUAAAUAUAUAUAAAUAUAAUUAUAUUAUAUUAGUAAUUUUUAUUUUUUAAUAUUAAAAUUAAUUAUAAAUUUAUACUUUUAGAUCUAAUCGGGUCAAAAAUAAAUAUUAUUUCAUAAUUUUUACUUUUUCAUCACUAAUGUUCACUUUUACUAUUUUCAUUUAAAUAUUUUUUUAAUCCACAAAAGACUUGAAAUUGGGCUAUAAAUAGGAGUGGAGAGAGGAGAUGAACUCAACCUACUUAGCUAUACUCCAAAAUGAAGCCACUGUUUCUUUUAGUUUGUGUUCUCUUAGCUUCCUCUUUCUUUAUUCCCAUUUCCGCCAUGCCUAUCCAGGACCAGCCCUUGGGUAAGAUUCAGCAGCGAGUCUUUAUGUUUAUAUAUAGGACAUCCACAUAUAUAUAUAUAAUUAACAGUAUGCAUGGAUGGAUGGACAUAAUAUAUGAUUGUUGCAGGUGGUGAACGCAAAGGAAAUGAAUGUGGUCGUGGAAUCAAAUGCAUACCAAAGCCAACGCCACGGCCUACUAAGUGUAAAAGAAACAAUCCUUACUGCAGGCCUCCCUGAAUGUGGUAAAAAAUAAAGCUAUGGGCCUAUGGACGAUAUGGAUAUGGGUGAAGUUAUGCUAGUAAUAAAUUAACAAAUAAACAAAGUUUCCCCCCAUGCUUCAUGACCCAUGGCAAUUACCAAUGAAGUUCUUGUAAUGAUCAUAUCAUUACUUUCAUGACUACUAGUUUGUAUGUGUUAUGUUUAUGUUUAAUAAAUUAUGGAGUGUUUUUAUGUUGAAAAAUAUCAAGUACUACUUUGAUUGUGAUAGGUUUAUAUGUUUAUGUUUGAGGAAAUUAUUUCAAAAAUGAAAAUCACAUAAACCAUGAUUUGUACUCCGUUUCAAUUAUUGAUGUUGUAGAAACAAAUAACUUGGUCUGCAGUUGCUCAAAACAGUUUUGUUUUAUCUUCUGCCGGAACAAAAGUUGGAUAAAACUAGAAAGUUGGUGAGUCAAAGGGACAAGUAAAGGGAGAAUGAAUACACAAUAUUUGAGUUCAACUAUUUGCUAAAGCCCAAUUUUUACAAACCACUCCUCCCAAAUACUUUACAUUACAUACAAUAUCUCUCUAUAAAAGUCUAAACAAGGUGUGUCUAACACAUCCUUAAAAUAGCUAAAGAAUAAGUCAAUCAACAACCUAUUUACAGGCUCUCCUUCAACGUGAAUAUCGAUAGCUAGAAGAUGAGUCUUUAUUACAUGUUUAAAUGCUAAAAAUUAUCUUCAUAAGUUAUCUUAGAAAAAUAUUCAAAUAAAUCUCUCUAUAAAACAACCUUCCAUCAACUUGAAAACUCUUAAAAGAUAAAGGAUAAGGAUACUUCUUUCUUUCAUCUCCAAGGCUGUCGGUUGAACGAGGAUAAUUGCUCCAUAUUCUAUCAUGAAAUUAUCUCCUCGUUUGCUGGUUUAAAUCAGAUGUAAUCAAGGCUCUUUAUUGUCAAGAAUCCCAACCUGAAUGAACUUUCACUGAAAUAUGCACAUACUCUAAAAUAUGUCUAAAUAUUUGAUGAGACAAGAAAAGGUUCUAAAAUUGGUUUGAAUGGUCAAAUGCUCUAACAUAAAGCUUAAAAAUUUACAACAAAAUGACAUAAAAAAAAUAACAUUGAAAUUUGAUUUAUAAUAUUAGAAGUUUUGAAGAAGUGGUAAUUAAAUUAAUUAUUAGAAGUGGGAGAAUGAUGCUGGAGAAUCUGUCAAAUUUGAAACUUUUAGUAAGCUAUAAGGCACCAAAACUCCUACUUUUGCGUCGUUUUUAUUGUUAAAAAUUACUCACAAUUCUUUUAGGUAGCGUUUGAGAGUUAAAGGAUUUUAGAAUUUGGAUUUGAAUUUAAAAAAUAAUGCAAAUUGAGUACAUUUAUGUUUAUUUAAUCUAAGCUUUUGUUAGAAGCCUAUUUAUUAAUAAAUUUAAAAUCUUAAUUUUUUUUUGAAUUUGAUAAAUCCAUGCUUUUUUUUUUAAUAUAUAUUAGAUUGAAUUUUGACUAAUCUAUCUAUAAUAUAUGCGUUUCAUUCUUACUAGAGUUGUUCACGGGUCGGGACAUAACAAAAUUUUAGGUCCAAUUACUAGGCCUUGAUCUGACCCAAAAAAUGGGCUUAGAUUUUUCCUAAGUUGACUCGGAUAAAAAUGUAAAACUUGGACCCAGUCUGUAUUAAUUUUUUAAUUUAAUUUUUAUAUAAAUAAAUUUAAAAAUAUAAUACACCAAAUACAUUAAAAAUAUUAAAAUAAAAGUUUCCUAAGAAAUUUAAAAAAAAAUUAAAAAAAAAAGUCUUUAUACUUAAGUAACACUAAGAUAAGAGCAACUUAACAAGCAAAUGUUUCUAAAAUAGUAGCAAAAUUAACAAUAAAACAAGUAUUAUACAAUAUCCAAAUAUUAACAACAAAAUAAUAACAUAAUAGUGAAAUGGUAGCAAAACAGUGGGAAAAUAGCAGCAAAAGCAGUAGGUUUUUUUAUUGAAAAUCGGGUUGGGUCGGGUCGGGCCAAAAAAUCUUAUUCGAGGCUCGACCCGUUUUUCAAAUGGACUUUUUUUUUGUCCAAGUCUAUUUUCUGAGCCUAUAUUUUUUUUCUAAGUCCUCUCAUUUUUCGAGCGGACCUGACCCAGCCCAUAUACAACUCUAAUUCUUACCAUUUAUAUAAUAAAUGAGAUCUAAAUCCAAAUUUUCAAAUUCUGAAUUUCCAGAAGGAGGAUAAAUAUUUUAUUUGGAAUACUCCUCAACCAUCAAAAGCCCUAAAGAAAAUUCUAUCUUACAAUAUUUUCUAAAUUUUUCCUUCCAAGUUUCUUCAAUGUUACAUCAAUAGCAAGAGGAAGGCAAAAAACAAAGUUCAAGUCUUUCAAACUCUUCUAAAAUAGCAUCUUCAAGAUCUCCUGUAUCGAAAAGGCAAUUAUAGGGAGCCUCAACAAGUAAUGUUCUUGAAGUUGUUGAAAACCCAAUUGAUCCUCCACUAAUUAAAAUUGAACCUACUACUUGUCUAAAGGUAUUUGUUGCUAUGAAUCCUCAAAAACCUCUAGUACAUGACUUUUUUAUUAUUAUCUGAUUUAUUGUUCUACUUCUAAAAAACCAUGAUUGAAGAUUGAAAUCUCUUGGACACAAAGCAACAACAACUAAAGCAGUAGAAGAAGCCUUUGAGCACGUGCACACACACAAAAAAGAAAAACAACUGAUUAAGGAAAGACUUAUUCCAUUUCUAAUGAUAAUGUCCCAUUAUCAGACUUUGUGUCUAAUUAAACUGCCACGUAUAUAUAUAUAAAUUGAAAAGAGUAGGUGUUACUAAGUUAUUAAAAGAAUGUAGAUUGUACUUCUGAACUAAAGAAGUCAAAGUUCCUAAAUGUUAUUUGUACAAAAAAGAAUGAAAAUAAUGGUUGAUACACAUAUUAUAUGUUUAAAGCAAAUUAAUUUUUAUUAAUUUUUAAACUUUAUAUAAUUUAUAAAAAUCAUCUUGAAUUAAUAUGGACAAUGGGUUUUCUAGAUUUACAUUGUACAGGACAAAAAAAAAAUUUCAAAUUCAUUUUGGACUUCACUUCUAAAUGGGCUUUUAUUAAUUUUUAAUUUCUUUUUAAUUUCAUUUAAUAUUUUUUAUAAAUUUUAAUAAUAUUUUAUAUAUUUAUAAAAUUUUUAAAACAUUAAAACUUUAUAAAAAAAUUUAUAAUUUUUUUUUCUUAAAAUAAGCUUUGGAAUGAAUGAAUAUAGACAAUUGUAUGUCCAAAGUUAUUCUAGUAAAAAAUUUAAGUAUUCCUUUUAAUUUUUUAUUUUAUGAAAAUUGUAUUUUGCUGACAUGGCACAAUCUAAAAAUUCCAUACGUCUAGCACUUAACACCAUUACAAAAAUGAUACUAAAAUGGAAUGAAAAUUCGACACUAACUUACGAAAAAAUCAUAAAUACCAAUUUAAGAGAAAGUGACAAAUUCAAGAACUAAAUGAGUAUUUAAACUUAUUUAUAUUUAAAUCAAUUUAGACAUGCAUUAAAUUUCUAAUUGUGUUUAAAUGAUAAGAAAUGAAAAAGAAGAUAUAAAAUUUUGAUCGAAAAAUAAACAUAAAAUAAAAAUCACUUACAAUUAUAAAUAAAACCAUUGAUAAAUGUAUUAUGUUAAAUUCCAGGAUAGAUGAAAUAACAGAAAUGAGGUUGAAGCAUCAUUGAGCUCUCAUACAUUGAAUCCUUGAUCACGACGCUUGUGCCUCACCCCAAGGCCUGACGCGCGUCUGUCGCCUUGCACCAAAAGAACAAAGGGCGUCUCUUCUCUCCCCUCCAUUGACUUUGCCGAUGUCUGCAAAAAAAAAAAAAAAGACAAAGAAAGAACACAGAAACGGCAAGACAAUAGCAGCAGAAACAGUAACAAAUUUGAAUAAUAAACAGUCUAAUAUGGCUAUAAAAGUCAUUACGUAUUAUUUUUUACAGGCAAUCGAAUAAAAAAAACAGAGAAAUAAAUAAAAGAGAAGAUUUCAAAAAAUAUAAAGGUAGUUAUAUAUAUAUAUAUAUAUGGUUUGAAAAGCUAUAAUAAAUACAUAAAAAAUAGAGAGAGAGGGGGAGGAUUCUCACUUGUCGUUCCACCUUUCGCCACCGUCGAGGACAACCUUCGGCACCUCAAAUGUCUCAUAACCCAUUAGGGUUUUGACUUCCGACGAAGGUCUGGAACGUGGCGCGACUGAAGGUUUUCCUUCGUGAUUCUUUUUCUUUUUUUUUAUUUCAAAAAAUAUUCGGUUGGAUCUGUUUUCUUUUAAUAACUUUUAGAAAGGGACUAAAAGUAAUUUUUUUAUUUUCCGGCCACGAAGGAGGCACAGUGGAGGCUCGCCGGCAUCCGGGCCGAAGAUGGGGAGAACCGAGAGAGAAAGAGAGAACUCUCAGGUUUUUUUUAAAAAACAAAGACAUAAUGAUUUUUUUUAAAGAUUUUUAGCUUUUAUAGGAGAUGUAAAACGACGUCAUCUAGGGCUGGUUUCAAUAGCACGAAAACGGCGCCGUGUUGGCCUUCGACCUGAUUGCCUGUUCCAAGACCUUAGGAUCCGCGUGUUUUUUGUGACUAGGGUAUAAUUGGACAUUAGUCCUUCCAAUUUUUAAGCAGUUUCCAAUGUGGUCUUGUUUCUUUUUUAAUUUAACCAUUUGAUUUUAUCUUAAUUUCAUUUUUGGUCCUUGGCCAUUUUAAGAGAGGGAUACCUGAAACAGAGUCGUUUCAGUUGACUCGAGACCCAACCUGAGAUCCGACCCGAUCCUUUAAUAGGAUCCGCGUGUUUUUAAAAAAGGGGCCUAUUUGCGCUUUCAACCUUCUUCCUUUUAAGUCAUUUUAAUUAGGUCCUAAUUUCACUAUUUUCUUUUUUAGAAAGUUUCCAUUUAAUUUUACACCGCUUUCAACUAAGUCCUCGAAUCGCUGAAGGUACGCGUGUCCUUAGGAUUGGGAUAAUUCCUCAAUUGGUCCUUGUUUGUUUUCACACUUUUCAUUUUAGUAUGUUAUUUAUUUAUUUAUUUUAUCUUAAUUCAUUCUUUUAAUUUAAUUUAAAUGACAAUUAGACCCUUUAUUUAUUUUAAUUCUUUUAAUUAUUUACUUGUUUGCUUAUUUAUUAUUCCUUCACUUUUGGUUUAUGUUUAAAAUUGUAUUUCUUAUUAUUUUCUUUUCAUCGAGCAUUUAUUUAUUUAUUCAUUUUAUUUUAUUAUUUAUUUAUUUAUUUACUUAUUAUUCCUUUGUAUACAUGCAUAAGAAUUGGAUUGUGCAUAUGCUUUUAUUGGUACAUUUUUGUUUAUUACUAUCAUUCAUUGUUUUAUUUUUAUUUUUAAGCAUGUUAUUGUUAUUUUAUUUCUCUCAGCAUUUUUAUGUCAUGUCCAUUUAUCUUUUUAAUCAUGCAUCGUCCAUUUUUUAUUUACCUUAAAAUACUUCAUUUAAUCAUUAUUACUAUAAUACGAUUAUUAAUAUUAAUAGUAUUAUUAUAAUUAUGUUAUUAUAAUAAUAUUCUUUUAUUUCACUUAUUAUUUAUUAUUCUAUCUACAUAGUUGUUUUAAAUUAUCUCAUUUUCACCAUAUCAUACAUUAAGGUUCAAACAUUUAUCCAUUUGUAUAUCAUGCCCGAAUAAAUUAAAAACACAUCACCUUAAGUGUUUGUUUUUUUACACGAUGCAUAAAAAAAGAAUUUUUUUUAAACCGAGGCAAAUGUUCAUUAUUUCGAAUUUAGAAAAGUUGUGUUCCUAACGUACAGAAUAUGACUUCCUUCUAAAACCGAGAUAGUUGAAUAUUUAUUUUAAAAUAAAUAAAAACGAGAUUUAAGUAAUGAUCAAUUGGUGUUUAUUCUCGUUUUCGAGGUUUUAAGGCAUUGUGUCCUAACACACGGGACGUGAUCCUUUUUCUCGAUUAACUUGAAAUAAGCCCUUCUUGAGAAAAUUACUUUGGUUAGAUAAUGCCUUAAUACAAAAAGGAUCGUGUUUUAAACUCUUUUCAAAUUUUCAAUUCACAACACUAAGACAUUAAUAAAUCAACUAGGUACCAAUUUUGGGUGUUACGAGGGUGCUAAUCCUUCCUCAUGCAUAACCGACUUCCGAACCCAUUUUUUGAAUCUUGUAGACAAAAAAUCAUUAUUUUAGUAAAUCAAACCAUUUAUUAAAACGAUCAAAUUACGAGGUGAUCCAAUCACACACACCUCAUAAAAAGGGAUCGGUGGAGACUCCCAUUUUCGUCUUUUUCUUAAAAUAAAAAAGGUCGAUCUCAAAAAAGGUUUCGACAAUCAUAUUAUCUCAUAAUUAGAAUCCACAAUAUUGAUUCAAGUUAAAAUGUCAAGUCACUAAACUUAUCAAAAAUUCAUAACCAUAAACAACCCUUUGUUCAAUUUCUCGUGUUCUCUCUCUCUCUCUCUCUCUCUCUCUCUCUCUCUCUCUCUCUUUCUCUCUCUAAACAAAGGAAAUGAAAUAUUUGUCUAGGGUGUUGCUAAAUUUUUUUACACGAAUAAGGAUGAUAACCUAAGCACCCCACGAAAAUAGAUGACAACCCAAACACCUAACUUCUAAGACCAGUGGAGUAAGUGAAUGGCUUAGAACAUCACUCAAUUUUUUUACACGAAAAUAGAUGACAACCCAAACACCUAACUUGUGUUACUCAAUCGAUCACAGUUUUAAGAUUAUACUUUUAAUCUAAAUAGUUAGUUGGGUAUUUGUUGAUUUUUUUAUUUUUUUUCUUUUAUUUUUCAAUUUUAUUAAAGUGCCUUUAUUUAAUGUUGUUGGCUCUACAAGGUCCAUCAUUCGUUCAAAUCAGAUUUCUAAUCCUAUUUCCUCUCACUCUUGAAGUUUCAUCAUUGGGCAUUCUCUUUUCCCUUUGUACUUGAGAGGCUUCAGUGCCUCCAUCUCAUUGACAACUUGUAACAAUAUGAUUUUAAGUGGUAUCAAAAAAUGUGGUUUCAAAAUUCUAUUUUUAUAAAUCGAGUCUGCAAAGAUGAAAUAUAAAAAUUAAUGAAAUUAGUAUAAAUAUAUAUUGAAGUUCAGUUAAGUAAUUUAAUCGAGAAAACUAUUAAUUAAAACUUAAGGAUUAAAUUGGAAAAGUUCAAUCGCUAUUGAGUUUUAAUUUAAAAAUACUUGAGGACCAAGAUAACAAUUAUUUAAAGGACAAAAAUGUUAAUAAACCAACUUUAAUCAUGAAAUAGUGGAGAAUGAUGAUUGCUUACACUUAAAUUAAUUUAUGAUUAAAAUGUGUAAGUUAAUCUCUUAAUUAACUAAAUCAAACAAGAUUAAUUAAACUAAAUUAACAUUAAUUAAAGUGUAUAUAUGUGUGUAUUUUAGCGGAAGGAAAAAUGAAAAAAACAUCCUCAUCAUCUUCCUCCACCGUCCACCAAAGUAAGUAAGAAAGAAAUGCUUCAAACCAUUCCAACAUUUGACUAUUAAUCAAGUAAGCUCCUUAAGCUAUUUUUAUUUUUAUUUUUAUGGAAUUUGAAUCAUGAGAGCUUGAUUCAAUUAGCCUGUGUAUCAAUUUAUUCAAUUUUUUAGUUUCUAGAAUUUUUCCAUUAAAAUGAAAUUGUACUUUCUAACAGACGAUUUUGAAUUCAAAUUCUGAGUUUGAAACAAGUGUUUUCGAACUUACAUUUUUCUAACAUUUGUGAGAGUUGUGUCAAAUAUUAUGCUUUUGAAACGCAUCCUAAGUGAGAUUAAGUCAAAAAAUUUUAAACAAAUUAAUAUAAUCGCUUAAAAUCUAACCAUAACAUCUAAGUCGGGUUUAAAAUGUUACAAUAAUAAUAUAAAAAUUACAUGUAAAAAUUAGCAUAUAUAUAUAUAUAUAAACAAUGACACCGUAAGUGAAAAUCUAUCUUUGAUCCUAACAAUUGUCGAAUCCACGUGAAACAUGGGAAAAAAGUAAGAUGAUGGUAGCAUAAAUGACAUCAAUGAAGUGAGGGCAUCACUUUCUAAAUUUAUAAUCUUUGGUUGCUUUUUGGUGAAAGCAAAAUCUGCACUUGACUUGGGGUCAAUAUUAUAUAUUAUCCUUUGUAAAUUAGAUAAGUAGAUGUCAUGAAAGAGACAAUAGCAAUUAUUGCUUUCUUUUUCUUUUGUGGAAAAUUUGAUCCUAAAAGCAAAGUUACUGCACUCAGUGGGUAAGGAAAUUGGGUUAACCUUACUUUCAAAUUAAUAAUUUAAAUAAGUAUGUGAAUUUGAGAUUUUAUUGUAUAAAAAAUUUAAUUUCACGUGAAACAUGUAAAAGAGAAAAAAGUAGGAUGAUGGUAGGCAUAAAUGACAUCAAUGAAGUGAGGGCAUCACUUUCUAAAUUUAUAAUCUUUGGUUGCUUUUUGGUGAAAGCAAAAUCUGCACUUGACUUGGGGUCAAUAUUAUAUAUUAUCCUUUGUAAAUUAGAUAAGUAGAUGUCAUGAAAGAGACAAUAGCAAUUAUUGCUUUCUUUUUCUUUUGUGGAAAAUUUGAUCCUAAAAGCAAAGUUACUGCACUCAGUGGGUAAGGAAAUUGGGUUAACCUUACUUUCAAAUUAAUAAUUUAAAUAAGUAUGUGAAUUUGAGAUUUUAUUGUAUAAAAAAUUUAAUUUCAUAAUUAAAAAUAUUUUAUUUAAAUAUAUAUAAAUAUAAUUAUAUUAUAUUAGUAAUUUUUAUUUUUUAAUAUUAAAAUUAAUUAUAAAUUUAUACUUUUAGAUCUAAUCGGGUCAAAAAUAAAUAUUAUUUCAUAAUUUUUACUUUUUCAUCACUAAUGUUCACUUUUACUAUUUUCAUUUAAAUAUUUUUUUAAUCCACAAAAGACUUGAAAUUGGGCUAUAAAUAGGAGUGGAGAGAGGAGAUGAACUCAACCUACUUAGCUAUACUCCAAAAUGAAGCCACUGUUUCUUUUAGUUUGUGUUCUCUUAGCUUCCUCUUUCUUUAUUCCCAUUUCCGCCAUGCCUAUCCAGGACCAGCCCUUGGGUAAGAUUCAGCAGCGAGUCUUUAUGUUUAUAUAUAGGACAUCCACAUAUAUAUAUAUAAUUAACAGUAUGCAUGGAUGGAUGGACAUAAUAUAUGAUUGUUGCAGGUGGUGAACGCAAAGGAAAUGAAUGUGGUCGUGGAAUCAAAUGCAUACCAAAGCCAACGCCACGGCCUACUAAGUGUAAAAGAAACAAUCCUUACUGCAGGCCUCCCUGAAUGUGGUAAAAAAUAAAGCUAUGGGCCUAUGGACGAUAUGGAUAUGGGUGAAGUUAUGCUAGUAAUAAAUUAACAAAUAAACAAAGUUUCCCCCCAUGCUUCAUGACCCAUGGCAAUUACCAAUGAAGUUCUUGUAAUGAUCAUAUCAUUACUUUCAUGACUACUAGUUUGUAUGUGUUAUGUUUAUGUUUAAUAAAUUAUGGAGUGUUUUUAUGUUGAAAAAUAUCAAGUACUACUUUGAUUGUGAUAGGUUUAUAUGUUUAUGUUUGAGGAAAUUAUUUCAAAAAUGAAAAUCACAUAAACCAUGAUUUGUACUCCGUUUCAAUUAUUGAUGUUGUAGAAACAAAUAACUUGGUCUGCAGUUGCUCAAAACAGU
rnacentral:lncRNA from 1 species